rnacentral:rRNA from 1 species
CAGUCGCCGCGGUAAUACAGAGGGUGCGAGCGUUAAUCGGAUUUACUGGGCGUAAAGCGUGCGUAGGCGGCUUCUUAAGUCGGAUGUGAAAUCCCUGAGCUUAACUUAGGAAUUGCAUUCGAUACUGGGAAGCUAGAGUAUGGGAGAGGAUGGUAGAAUUCCAGGUGUAGCGGUGAAAUGCGUAGAGAUCUGGAGGAAUACCGAUGGCGAAGGCAGCCAUCUGGCCUAAUACUGACGCUGAGGUACGAAAGCAUGGGGAGCAAACAGGAUUAGAUACCCCUGUAGUCCUGUCUCUUAUAAC